rnacentral:lncRNA from 1 species
UUACUACAAUAUUCCAUUUUAAUGUAAUGAAGUAAAUAAUACCGAUUAUAUUUGCAUGAGUCUUUUAAUUAAAUGAAUAUAUUUCAUUUUUAUUCACAUUAUUAAAAGAGUAGGAUAUUUGUGGAACUCAAUUUAACAGUUCAUGGAAAUAAUAUUUAAGGUGUGUGUGUGUUGGAGAGAGAGAGUAUGUGUGUGUGUGUGUGUGAGAGAGAGAGAGACUGUGUGUGUGUGUGUGUGUGAGAGAGAGAGAGAAAGUAUAUGUGUAUGCAGUGGUGGAUUUAGGCAUAGGUGACAUGGGCAGCCGCCCAGGGUGGUAUCUUGCCGGGGGCGGCAUGGGGGCAAAAAAAUAUUCCGAAUGGUGACAUUUGUGCGAUCGGAUUUCUAUCACUCAUUUGAACGUCACGUCAAUGAUAUCAUGUCACCGUGUGGGACUGUGGGUCAAUUAACCUUGUCGGAGUGGGGGCCCUGAUGCUAGUUUGUGAGCUUGGCAGGCUACUGCCUGGGAAGGUCUCCCACUCAGAAGUACGAGAUGGAAGGGGGCGGGGGUAGGUUGACCUCAGGUCUCCCCACUAGAAGCCAGAGGUAGGGGAAGCGGGGGUAGGUUGACCUCAGGUCUCCCCACUAGAAGCCAGAGGUAGGGGGGGCGGGGGUAGGUUGACCUCAGGUCUCCCCACUAGAAGCCAGAGGUAGGGAGGGGCGAGGGUAGGUUGACCUCAGGUCUCCCCACUGGAAGCCAGAGGUAGGGGGAGCGGAGUAUGUUGACCUCAGGUCUCCCCACUAGAAGCCAGAGGUAGGGGGAUGGGGGUAGGUUGACCUCAGGUCUCCCCACUGGAAGCCAGAGGUAGGGGGAGCGGGGGUAGGUUGACCUCAGGUCUCCCCACUAGAAGCCAGAGGAAGGGGGAUGGGGGUAGGUUGACCUCACGUCUCCCCACUGGAAGACAGAGGUAGGGGGAGCGGGGGUAGGUUGACCUCAGGUCUCCCCACUGGAAGCCAGAGGUAG